CCGCCGUCGGUGCUCCUACCCCGUGGCGCUCAGGCCCUCUCCCUCCACGCUUACACUCCUCCUCUGCCUCUUGAUGCCCUCUUCCUCCUUGGUGUCCCCUCUUCUGACUCCCUUUUCUCUCCCGCCUCACAUCUCCCUACACGGAAUCCGGAAUCUCGAUUCCCAGCUCACAGGUGCCAGCACGCGGCCCCUGGCGGCCAUCUGCCCCCCCCCCCCCUUACUGAGCAUCACAAGUGGGCGGAACAGGUGCUGGGACAGUGUGGCUGCUCCAAUGGCUCGGCUUUGUCUUCUCACACAGCUGUGGUUACUGCAGUUGCUGGCCAGGUCCCGAACUACAGCUCUGGGGAAUUCAGUCCCAUCCCAACAAGGGAUCACAGAUUCUGGCAGGCUCUCACUGUUCCCCGGGCUGAACCUGGACUUACGGACUCAAGUAAUGGGGACUACAGAAUCUGCCGCCUCUGGUCUCCUGGCCAAAACAUUGUCUUGCUAAAUUACCGCGGAAGCACGGGCGGUCUGGGGUUCCAGGUGCCUGCGGGCUGCUCAGUGGGGCGGUCCUCUGAGCGGCGCUUGCCUCAGACAGUAGAGACGGCCGCGCGCCUCAUCCCGGCCCUGACUGAGGGCCGAGGCUGGAGGUUCAGCGACCGAGUGAGCGCCUGGCUGGAGAAGAUCUCAGGCUGUAGUUUAGUGUGCAAACCCUCGGUUCAAUCCCAGUUCCGCCCCAAACCAAACCAAACCAAAAUAAAAAACAAAAACAGGGGCCAGGGAUGUGGCUCAGUGGUCCCAGAGUCUGCCCGGCCAGCGCAAGGCCCUGAGUCCGAUCUCGGUACCCAAAACCGAAA
rnacentral:lncRNA from 1 species